UCUCCCUCCAGGCAGCCCUUGGCUGGUCCCUGCGAGCCCGUGGACACUGCUGGAGAUGUCCUCUUUCGGUUACAGGACCCUGACUGUGGCCCUCUUAGCCCUGCUCUGCUGUCCAGACAGGGUCUCGCUCUAUCACCCAGGCUGGAGUACAGUGGCAUGAUCAUGGCUCACUGCACCUCCCUGGGCUCAGGUGAUCCUCCCACCUCAGCCUCCUGAGUAGCUGGGAUCACAGGAUCUGAUGAGAAGGUAUUCGAGGUACACGUGAGGCCAAAGAAGCUGGUGGUUGAGCCCAAAGGGUCCCUCGAGGUCAACUGCAGCACCACCUGUAACCAGCCUGAAGUGGGUGGUCUGGAGACCUCUCUAGAUAAGAUUCUGCUGGACCAACGGGCUCACUGGAAACAUUACUUGGUCUCAAACAUCUCCCAUGACGCAGUCCUCCAAUGCCACUUCACCUGCUCCGGGAAGCAGGAGUCAAUGAAUUCCAACGUCAGCGUGUACCAGCCUCCAAGGCAGGUCAUCCUGACACUGCAACCCACUUGGGUGGCCGUGGGCAAGUCCUUCACCAUUGAGUGCAGGGUGCCCACCGUGGAGCCCCUGGACAGCCUCACCCUCUUCCUGUUCCGUGGCAAUGAGACUCUGCACAAUCAGACCUUCGGGAAGGCAGCCCCUGCCCUGCAGGAGGCCACAGCCACAUUCAGCAGCACGGCUCACAGAGAGGAUGGCCACCACAACUUCUCCUGCCUGGCUGUGCUGGACUUGAUGUCUCGCGGGGGCAACAUCUUUCACAAAUACUCAGCCCCAAAGAUGCUGGAGAUCUAUGAGCCCGUGUCGGACAGCCAGAUGGUCAUCAUAGUCACGGUGGUGUCGGUGUUGCUGUUCCUGUUCGUGACAUCUGUCCUGCUCUGCUUCAUCUUCAGCCAGCACUGGCGCCAGCGGCGGACGGGCACCUAUGGGGUGCGAGCGGCUUGGAGGAGGCUGCCCCAGGCCUUCCGGCCAUAGCACGCAUGAAUGGCAUGGCCACCACCACGGUGGUCACUGGAACUCAGUGUGACUCCUCAGGGUUGAGGUCCAGCCCUGGCUGAAGUACUGUACCAGGCAGCAGAGACUUGGGACA
rnacentral:sRNA from 1 species